UGUUGAAACUCAGGUUCUCGUAUGAUCACCUAAGUUAAGCAAUGCCAAGCCGUAUCAGUACCUAGGUCAGUGACUGCUUGGGAAUACCAGGUGCUGUAA